CCUACGGGGGGCAGCAGUGGGGAAUAUUGCGCAAUGGGCGAAAGCCUGACGCAGCGACGCCGCGUUAGGGAUGAAGGUCUUCGGAUCGUAAACCUCUGUUAGCAGGGAAGAACGGUCACUGUGCUAAUCAGCCGCGACUUGACGGUACCUGCAAAGGAAGCACCGGCUAACUCCGUGCCAGCAGCCGCGGUAAUACGGAGGGUGCGAGCGUUAAGCGGAAUUAUUGGGCGUAAAGCGCUCGUAGGCGGUAUGUCAAGUCAAGGGUGAAAUCCCCGGGCUCAACGUUGGAACUGCCUUGGAAACUGGCAAACUGGAGUGUGUGAGAGGAUAGUGGAAUUCCAGGUGUAGGAGUGAAAGCCGUAGAUAUCUGGAGGAACAUCAGUGGCGAAGGCGACUAUCUGGCACAUAACUGACGCUGAGGAGCGAAAGCGUGGGUAGCAAACAGGAUUAGAUACCCCUGUAGUC
rnacentral:rRNA from 1 species